rnacentral:rRNA from 1 species
UCCAGACUCCUACGGGAGGCAGCAGUGGGGAAUAUUGCACAAUGGGGGAAACCCUGAUGCAGCGACGCCGCGUGAGUGAAGAAGUAUUUCGGUAUGUAAAGCUCUAUCAGCAGGGAAGAAAAAAGACGGUACCUGACUAAGAAGCCCCGGCUAACUACGUGCCAGCAGCCGCGGUAAUACGUAGGGGGCAAGCGUUAUCCGGAAUUACUGGGUGUAAAGGGUGCGUAGGUGGCAUGGUAAGUCAGAAGUGAAAGCCCGGGGCUUAACCCCGGGACUGCUUUUGAAACUGUCAUGCUGGAGUGCAGGAGAGGUAAGCGGAAUUCCUAGUGUAGCGGUGAAAUGCGUAGAUAUUAGGAGGAACACCAGUGGCGAAGGCGGCUUACUGGACUGUCACUGACACUGAUGCACGAAAGCGUGGGGAGCAAACAGGAUUAGAUACCCUGGUA